rnacentral:rRNA from 1 species
AUUGAACGCUGGCGGCAGGCCUAACACAUGCAAGUCGAGCGGAUGAAGGGAGCUUGCUCCUGGAUUCAGCGGCGGACGGGUGAGUAAUGCCUAGGAAUCUGCCUGGUAGUGGGGGAUAACGCCCGGAAACGGGCGCUAAUACCGCAUACGUCCUGAGGGAGAAAGUGGGGGAUCUUCGGACCUCACGCUAUCAGAUGAGCCUAGGUCGGAUUAGCUAGUUGGUGGGGUAAAGGCCUACCAAGGCGACGAUCCGUAACUGGUCUGAGAGGAUGAUCAGUCACACUGGAACUGAGACACGGUCCAGGCUCCUACGGGAGGCAGCAGUGGGGAAUAUUGGACAAUGGGCGAAAGCCUGAUCCAGCCAUGCCGCGUGUGUGAAGAAGGUCUUCGGAUUGUAAAGCACUUUAAGUUGGGAGGAAGGGCAGUAAGUUAAUACCUUGCUGUUUUGACGUUACCAACAGAAUAAGCACCGGCUAACUUCGUG